rnacentral:lncRNA from 1 species
AAAAAAUAUUCAAAUAAUAUUUCUGCACAAUCUAAAAAAUUUGAAGAAGAACAUUAUUAUCAAUCUCUUUUUACUCACAUUGCAAUAAAAAUAGGUGAAGAGGUUAAUAAUGAAAUUAAUGUCCAUUUGUUGGAAAAAAAUAAUCUUUUAUAUUAUUAUAUUCAAAAAAAUAAAUCUAAGCAUUCUUUUACUCAUUUUCAUAAAAUUCAAAUGUUAAAUCAAGUUAACGAAAGAAUACGACUUUUAGAUAAGCAAAACCGUUUUGAGUUGGACAAAAGACGACAUGAUGAAGUAGUUACAGAAGUAGGAACAACACAUGAAGUAAGGACUUUACAAAAUGAUGAUGUACAAAUGAAAGCACAAUAUGAUGUCAGGAUAAAUAAAAGUAUUAAAUGUCCAUCAAAUAAAAACAACUUAGAUUUGUUACAUUGGAAUUCAGUAAAAAAAGCAUACGUCGGAGGAAUUUUGUUGAAUAUGUUAAUAGAGAUUGCUAAGAUAGAUGUAGAUUUAGAAGUAGCAAAAAAAGAAUGUCAAAAUGAAUAUAAAUAUUAUUUGUUUUUACACAAAAUGGCAAAAGACCAACAAAAUAUAUUAUACUCUGAUUGUAAAUUUAAAAAGGAACUAAAUUACGAAAAUUAUUAUGAACAGGAAGCUAAUUCUCUUAAUUUUGUCAUCGUUGAUAGGAACAGAAAGGGUAGCAGCACAAUUGAGGAGGAGAUCACGAGUGGUUCGAAAUGUGUGGGGAAUAAAAAGAAGGAAAGGUGGGAAACGGGGGAAAGGGAAAAAAGGGGCCAAACGGAGCAGGCAGUACUGGUUGAUGACGCAUGUGUCAGUGGUAGUCUAAGUGGUAGCCUAAGUGGUAACCUAAGUGGUAGCCUAAGUGGUAGCCUAAGUGGUAGCCUAAGUGGUAACCUAAGUGGUAGCCUAAGUGGUAGCCUAAGUGGUAACCUAAGUGGUAGCCUAAGUGGUAACCUAAGUGGUAGCCUAAGUGAUAACCUAAGCAGUAGCAAAGGCGGAGAUGCCCCAAAAAAAACGAAAGAAAACAACUUUGGUAAAAGGCAAAGAGAAAAACUAAAAAACAAAAACAUUAUACUUUAUGUAUCUAAAAAAGAUAAAAACAAAAUA